UACAGAGGGUGCGAGCGUUAAUCGGAAUUACUGGGCGUAAAGCGCACGUAGGCGGCUUGGUAUGUCGGGUGUGAAAUCCCCGGGCUCAACCUGGGAACUGCAUCCGAAACUGCCUUGCUAGAGUAUGGGAGAGGGAAGUGGAAUUUCCGGUGUAGCGGUGAAAUGCGUAGAGAUCGGGAAGAACAUCGGUGGCGAAGGCGGCCAGCUGGGCCAUUGCUGACGCUGAGGCGCGACAGCGUGGGGAGCAAACAGG
rnacentral:rRNA from 1 species